CACGUAGGGGGCGAGCGUUGUCCGGAUUUAUUGGGCGUAAAGAGCUCGUAGGCGGCUCAGUAAGUCAGGUGUGAAAACUCCAGGCUCAACCUGGAGACGCCACCUGAUACUGCUGUGGCUAGAGUCCGGUAGGGGAGCAUGGAAUUCCUGGUGUAGCGGUGAAAUGCGCAGAUAUCAGGAGGAACACCAGUGGCGAAGGCGGCGAUCUGGGUCGAUACUGACGCUGAGGUGCGAAAGCGUGGGGAGCAAACAGG
rnacentral:rRNA from 1 species